UAACCUCUGGUAUCUACGAAUGUUG
rnacentral:ncRNA from 1 species